AUUGAACGCUGGCGGCAUGCCUUACACAUGCAAGUCGAACGGCAGCACGGGUGCUUGCACCUGGUGGCGAGUGGCGAACGGGUGAGUAAUGCACCGGAACGUACCCAGUAAUGGGGGGAUAACUAUCCGAAAGGAUAGCUAAUACCGCAUACGCCCUGAGGGGGAAAGCGGGGGAUCGUAAGACCUCGCGUUAUUGGAGCGGCCGAUGCCGGAUUAGCUAGUUGGUGGGGUAAAGGCCCACCAAGGCGACGAUCCGUAGCUGGUCUGAGAGGACGACCAGCCACACUGGAACUGAGACACGGUCCAGACUCCUACGGGAGGCAGCAGUGGGGAAUUUUGGACAAUGGGCGAAAGCCUGAUGCAGCGACGCCGCGUGGAGGAUGACGGUCUUCGGAUUGUAAACUCCUGUUAAGUGAAAAGAAAGAACCGCUUUUAAUGGAAGCGGGUGAUGACGUUAUCACUAGAGAAAGCACCGGCUAACUUCGUGCCAGCAGCCGCGGUAA
rnacentral:rRNA from 1 species